GUGUCUUACCAAGAAUGAAAGGCAACCUAUGUAAAAACUAUGGGCUUUCUAGUAUAAAUAAAAACUACUCAUCUCCAGAAAAUAAACAAUGACUGCUAAGAUGAUUGAAAAAAGAAAGGAGAAGAAAGUAGCUUGUAAAAGCGUGUGAAAUGCAUUCACGUUGGAAUCUCCUACAGGCACUUCAGAUGGAUAACAUUGACCUCAUGUGUAACUACAACGAAUUCAAGGGUGUGGACAUGUUUUUCAGGUCUUCAGACUGUAAACAUUUUAAGUGUGAUUGCUGUGAAUGAAGGAAACCCAGAGCCAUCAUGACAAGCCUAAACUCAAAGGGGACUGAUUUCUUCUACACUGAAUGUUUCAUUAGUGACAGGGCCCAGAUAAUAAAGAAUUGUGCUCACUUCCUGUGAGUGAUGGCUUUCCCUCAAUUGUAUGCUGAGUAACAUUUACAGUAUUCAUUUUUAAGCACCCAUCUUCCUGGGAGCCCUAUUUCCCCUAAGCUUUCAAUUGAUCCUCCUAAGAGCAGAGAUCACUUAGGCACUGAGCUAUGCAGCUGCUGCCUGAGUCUCCUGGACGCCUGCCCUCACCUCCAGCCACAUGAAAAACAUUCAAGCUUUAACUUCAGAAAUGUUCUCUAACCCACUCCCAGACACCCAACUGAUUAAAUCAUAGAUUAGAGGAAAAAAUUCUUGCCUGAAAUUGUCAUCUUGCACGUAUGCUGAUGUCCAGAAGGACACAUCCUGGUGGGAAGUGACUGCAUGUUUUGUUCAUAUUACAAGUCCUGUUGACAAAAGAGAAUAAUACAGGUGUCCUCCUGAAACUGUCACCACAGUGACCUUCCUCAGUCAAAAAGAAAUAUAAAUAUUAUUGUGUUUCUCGUGUCUGAGGCACCUCUGAAAGCAUUUAUCUUUUCAGAGAGUUCAGCACUUCAUCUCACGGGUUAAUUAAACCAACCUGUAGUGGCAAAGUUUAGUGGUAGUGAAAAUAAACAUAAUCCUCUUUCUGUUGCCCAACCUUUCAGUUUCAUUUUGUAAUUUUUCAAUACAGGGGCACAAUAAGUGAUAAUCCUGGAUUCCAAAUGAUUUCCACUUCUUUCUCUGCCACCUUCCCUGCCCCAACACCUGCCAUCCCUCAUUUACACAAUUCAAGUAAUCAAGGGGCAGUUUGGCUCCCUUUUUCUGGAGGCAAACUUUUGCAGAGUUUUAACUUACUCAGUGGGAAGAAAAGCCCCCAAAACACUGAAGCAUACCAAGCAAAUAAAUAAAUAAAUGCACAAAGGCUCCCUGCGGUUGUCUGACGAGGAUACUGGAGCAAGCAGCCUGAAGAACAAACGUCUGACUGUUGAAACAGCGAGACAGGAAUAAACCCAUGGGGCCACAUCUGGGAGUGUGAGUGUGUGAAUGGAACUAAGCUGGUCUCCCACACAACAGGAAUUCCACCAAAAGUAUGCGCUCUGUAUGGGAGGACAGAAAAAAAAUGUGUUUAAAAUAUCACUAAGGAAACCCAGAUACAUUAUCUCUGCCAGACUACAGAAGACAGUACAGUUAGUGCUUGUCUCAAAAUGACAGAAACAGAGAACAUGCUUUGAUGAUGUCGAAGAUGCAGGAAAAUAGAAAAAUAAAAACGGUGGAAAGAUUUUUUUUUAAUGCCCUAAAAUGAGCAAGACGCCUCCCUUUUCAUAGCACCAGGAGACAUUUCCAUUGCUUUUUUUUCAUGCUUGUGGCUUUUUGAGGGCAAAGAGUAAGUGAAAUCCAAUAAUUUGGUCUUUCUGCUCCAAAGUUUUGGCUGCCAUAAACUUAUUGUUCGAAUAUCAGAAUGGUUGUUCCUGCUUUGACGCCUGUGAAACAAUUUGUUUCAAUAUCAUAGCACAGUUUUAAAAGUA
rnacentral:lncRNA from 1 species